GAUGAACGCUGGCGGCGUGCCUAAUACAUGCAAGUCGAGCGAACAGACGAGGAGCUUGCUCCUCUGACGUUAGCGGCGGACGGGUGAGUAACACGUGGAUAACCUACCUAUAAGACUGGGAUAACUUCGGGAAACCGGAGCUAAUACCGGAUAAUAUAUUGAACCGCAUGGUUCAAUAGUGAAAGACGGUUUUGCUGUCACUUAUAGAUGGAUCCGCGCCGCAUUAGCUAGUUGGUAAGGUAACGGCUUACCAAGGCAACGAUGCGUAACCGACCUGAGAGGGUGAUCGGCCACACUGGAACUGAGGCACGGUCCAGACUCCUACGGGAGGCAGCAGUAGGGAAUCUUCCGCAAUGGGCGAAAGCCUGACGGAGCAACGCCGCGUGAGUGAUGAAGGUCUUCGGAUCGUAAAACUCUGUUAUUAGGGAAGAACAAAUGAGUAAGUAACUAUGCACGUCUUGACGGUACCUAAUCAGAAAGCCACGGCUAACUACGUG
rnacentral:rRNA from 1 species